UCGACUCAAGUGACUGCAGGGAAUCAUUUUCUGGUCCAAUCACGCAACAUAAACACAAAAGUAAAGCAAACAACAUUCAAAAGGAAAUCAACAUGGGUACCGAUUGAAAUCGACGAUUAUGAAAGGGGCGGCGCGACUGUGUGAGCUCAAUGAAGGUUGAGCGUGAAAAGGGCAUGGUUUGCCUCAGUGUUUGUUGUUGUGUGGUUCGAUAUUGAGUCGGAUAUGAGCGGAGGAGAUGUGUUUGAGGUGUUGAAGAGGCAGAGUAAGGUUGGAUGAGAGGUGUAUUAUGGAGGUAUCGGUAAGAGAAGAACAGAAGUGUAUGUUGCAG
rnacentral:lncRNA from 1 species